AAGGACAAAAUGCCUGGGGGAGCAAUGGGCAUCUUAAACUUAAACGGAGAGGUCCAGAGGGUUUCAGAAUCUAUAAGCACAUCCAUACUCUCCGUCACUAUAAACUCAGGAGACCAGACACUGGGACAUGGAGGCCAGGACAAGGAAUAAACGGCAUACCAGAGGAGCCCAAAGGAUGGAAGCCAGCUCUACAAAGUGCUUCCAAGAGCCUUCCUGCCACAGAAAUUCCAUUUAGCAACAAUCAUUCUCAUGGCCCUGGGCCUGGAGGGAGGUGGUGACAGGGUGGCCUGUGUCUGUGACACUACUAAUAGAGGAAGAAGCCACUGGGUCAGCGCCGCCAACCAGCCUCCUCCCACACACGAGCUUCUGGAAAACAGAACAAAAACAGAUUCUGAGCACUAAGAAUCCUCAGGUGAAGGAGGAGCAGGGUCCUGCACUGAGGACCCUCCAGUCCCACGAGAAGACAUGGCUUAACCUUUUUGGAGCCUCCAGUACAAAUGUUAUAGACCUAGCUGUCUUUAAAAAGGGAGGAGUCAUGGAUCCUGGGGCACCAUGUUCUCACCGCCUCACCUACACAGACUAAGCAACUCAGGAGCAUGCUCUGUCUGUAAUGGACAGAGAUGCAGAAGUGCUGUCUGUCAACAGGAGCUCGGGGAACAUUCCCACAGCCUGGCUCUGGGGCCAUCUCUCUCUUUCUUUCCCCAUCAUGGUGCCUGCCCAUGGGAAUGAAUCUGAGCCCCGAGCUCACUUGUGACCCAGGAAUGGCGACCUCUCGGUGGCCUCCCUUCUUCCCUCCAAAUAUGUUUCUGUUCCUUUUCCCCACUCCCGGUGACCCUCCCCCACCUGCUAUUUCCCAAGCUGUCCCUGGGAACAUCAUGCCAAUGGCCUACCAGUGGUCUUGUUUUACAUGAUACAUUUCCAAAAAAGACCAAAAAGUCCUUUCCAGGAAAAUGCCAUUUUAAAAAUUCAGUCCCAGACACCGUGGCAACAUAAGGAAAACAAAGGACUUGGCAGAAAGGUUGCUCUGAACUGGGACUUUCUCUCUAAAAUACCUUUUUCCAAACUGUGUGCAGUAGGAGCGGUGCCAGGGGUCAGUUCUGGAACACGCAAACAAUCCCAGACACCAACUGGUGCUGUCUACAUAGUUCCCUCUCCUUAGCUGGACUAUUCUGGGAUUCUUAGGUUUAAUCCAGAAAGCUUUCAAAGGGUCCCCAAAUGAAGAAGCAGCCACUGGAAGGUCAGGAAAUAGUUUCUACCUUCCUUGGGAAGGGACUCUUUGCUACCAUCACCAAGCUGAAGGCCAGCAGGUCAUACUAUGUUAGUAGAGAACUGCUCUGCUCAUUAUUCUAGUGAGAGGAGACGAGAUCACACCUGGAACAUGCAAUGAGGUCCUAGUUGCUCUUAGGUAGGCUCUAAGCAAUAUGACUUGUUCUCUUUAAGAAGAAAGG
ensembl:lincRNA Gm29052 predicted gene 29052